rnacentral:lncRNA from 1 species
AUGUAUUUUUAUAUGGUGCUGAGAAUAAAACCUAGUGCCUCACAUGUGCUAGGCAAGUGCUCUACCACUGAGCUACAGCCCCAGUCCCAAUAGUUCUAUCUUAUCAGUUUAAUUCACUCUCUUCAUCUUCAUUCUAAAUCCUAAUCCAUUAUCUUCUACCAAUGCAAGAACCUUCUUUCUGACUUUCUUGCUUCUUUUCAUUCUGUUAUAACUUGGAUAUGUGGUAUCCUCCAAAAGCUCAUGUGUGAGCCAUGCAAGAACAUUUAAAGAUGAAAUGAUUAGAUUAUGAGAGUUGUAACCUUAUCAGUGGAUUAACCCACUGAUAUGAUUUAACUGGGUGGUAACUAUAGGCAGAUAGGGUGUGGCUGGAGUAGGUAGGUCACUGGAAUGUGCCUUUGGGGUAUAUAUUUUGUCCCUGGUUCUCUCUCUGCUUCCUUGUUGCCACAUUCUGAGCUGCUUUCCUAUGCAUGUCCUUCCACUAUGACGUUCUGCAACUGUGGAAUCAGUCAUCCAUGGACUGAGACUUCUGAAACUAUGAGCCCCAAAUAAACUUUUCCUCCUCUACUUUAUUCUUGUCAAGUUGUGGACACAGUGAAAAAAAAACAGAUAACUAAAACACAUUAUCUCCUAAAUCCAUUCACUACAUAGCAUUCAACAUAAUGAAAUUAUGUUUUCUUUAAUGUCUAUAAGAUUACAUCACCCUUUUGCUUCACAGCUUUUCUGCAGCUUCUCUUCAUACUUGGAAUCAUAUCCAAUGUCCUUGCAUGACUCAGAUCUUCCUACCUCUUCAAACUCAUAUCCCAUCUUCCUUGUUCACUCUCCUCCAUUCACACUGGUUUUCUUUCACAUCCUUAAAUGCACCAAGAUUUUUUUGCCCUUUUAUCUUUUACAGGUAACAACCCAUCUAUUUGGAAAUCUUUUUUUUAAAACCUUGUCUUGACUAGCACUUUUAUUUCAGAAAUCAGCUCAAAAAUCAGUUCCUAAGAAGGUCUUUUUCUGAUCUCCAAUUGAAGUAGCCUCAACUCCCCUGCUUCUAACAUGUAGUCCUUUCCAUCAUAACAUUUGUAAUGAUUUAUCUGUUUAUUGAGGAAUUUUCUUUACACCUGAUUCUCUCACUAGAUUUAAUCCUGUAGUAGAUCAGUAAAGACUGAGUUAGAGAUUAUUUGGUUUAUUACCAAAAAGGAACCUCCAUUAAAUAUUUUUAAUCUUUCUUAUCCAACUUCCUAGUAAUUGUCAUCGAAGUUGCUCAUUCCCUCUCUGGAACAGUCUCAUCUCUACUUCAGUAUCACCACACUCUUGGGCUAUAGAACUCCAGAUUUACAUACAAUAUCCCAUACCUUUUUGACCUCUCCAUUUGGAUAUCCAGUAGGCAGCCUACAUUUAACAUGUCCCAAACAGAGCUCUAACUCUUGAAUCUCUCCCCACUAAACUCUCCUCCUCUAACUCUUCCUCACAUGAAUUUUUAUUAACACAUUGUCCAAGGGGGCAAAACUGUGACGUAUGCAGUCGAGGGGAGAAAUAAAGAAUGCCCACGAGUUUCUGCCCCUUUCAAUGCUUUAUUCACUCAAAUUACUCAAUACAGUUUCACUCUAUAGGCUCUUAAUCAAGAAAAUGACAGUUCUUAAUGCUAGGCACUGCAAUAGACAUAAUCAAUUCACAGAAAACAAUUCUAGAUUAAUUAAUUCACAGCAAACAAUUCUAGAUUAAUUCUAAGCACUGCAAAACACAGGUAACCAUGAUAGGCUAAUGACAGACAUUUCCUCUGCAGGCUAAGUUCAAAAGUCUUAAUCCUUAGGCUUUAUGUCCAGCAGAUGCACACUCACUCAGACUGCGGUGACCAGGUCGGAACCAAGGAAGGCUUUUCCUGGUGUGGAGUGGACGACCAGUUGAGGAGAGGGUCAUAGGGAGAAGUACGGCUCUCACCAAGGUCUAGACGAGGCGGUAGAGAUUGAGAGCGGUGAGGAUCAUGCAGAGGCUCUGGAAAUGAUGACAAGUGAUGGGAUAUCAGGUCCUCAUCAGGCUCUCUGAGUGCAUCCUUGUUUUGGCUGGCUGAAUCCCUGUUCAUUUGCUCUAUUAUUUAUACUAAAUUUUGGGGCUUUUGAUCCCCAUUUCAAUCCUUAUCAGCUACCACCGGAUUUCUCAGUGACAUAAUUUACUCUGGGGUCAGAAACAUCUGGUGGUCUCCACCCUGAUCUUCUCACCUUUUCUUCUUAUCAGGUGAGGACAACCAGCCAGGGGCUUCACUCUGUUUAUCAGGGUGAGGGGAAGUAACUUGUUUGUGGCCAUACUAGAGGGCUCUAUGGGUAUGCCUGGUGAAACUGCUGGUUUCAAACUGGAGUUUUUAAAAUGGAGUUGCUUAGGCUCAGGCCUAAGGCCAUCCUAACACACAUUUUAUUCAAAUUGCUCAAAAUCAAAUCUUUGAGUCCUGUCUUUCAUACCAAAAUGCAGUCUACCAGUAUGCUUUGUGUGUUAUACCUACAAAACAUAGUCUAAAUACAUUUACCUCCAUUUUUGUCUUUACCACUGAUAUAUUCCCUGUAAUAUUAUUUUAGCCAUCUAAUAAAUCUUCAAGCUUCUGUUAUUUCCCCCUGCAAUUAAUUUUUUCAAUAAUUAAAAUAAUAUUUUUAAAAUAUAAAUCUGAUCAUAUCAGCCUUCUGCUUAAAAUCUUAGCUUUGAGCUGGGGAUGUGGCUCAAUCAGUAGCCCACUCACCUGGCAUGCGCGGGGCGCUGGGUUUGAUCCUCAGCACCACAUAAAAAUAAAAUAAAGAUGUUGUGUCCACCGAAAACUAUAUAUAUAUAUAUAUAUAUAUAUAUAUAUUCUCUCUAAAAAAAAAAUCUUACCUUCAUAUUGAAUGUCAAAAGAAAUUCCAAAUUCUUUGUAACUCCUUGUAUUGUUCUUAGAUUUCUAAAAUGUUAGCCUGCUUACCAUUUUUAGAAUAUGUCAGGCUAGUUCUUCAUCCUAGAUUUACUAGCUCUUAUGUUUGCUUGAAUGAUAUUCCCCAUUAUUUUAAGUUUCCUCUUGUCAUUCAGAUCUCAUCCUAAAUACAAUUCUCUCAGAAAUCACUAACAAAGUCAGUCAUUUGCUUUCAUGUACUCUAAUCUUCAAUGGUAUUUAUCAAUAUCUUUUGUCUAUGUACAUAAAUGUUUGUUAUCAGUAAAAAUGCAGGCUGCAAGUGACCUGCUACCCCUUCUCUCGUUUUGUUCUACACUCAGUCUUCAAUAGUGUGUUCUCAAUGAACAUAUACAGAAAUAAUUAGUGAUAAUAAUGUUCUACACCUCACCUAAUACUUACAAAUCCUGUCACUCAGAUUCUUUAACCUAUCUCUCAUUCAUCUUCUCAUUAAUAGAGACUUAUUAAUGGAGGCUUUGUUUUGUUUUGUUUUUAUAUUAUGCCAAUAUCUUUUUAGUGACAAUGUCUGCCUCUUUUCUGGAUAACCACUAAUCUGUAUUCCACAUUGCUGCCUACAUAACAGUACUGAAGCACAAAACUGACAACCUCACCUCCCUGUUUUAGGAUCUUUUAUUGAUGGCAUUUAGCUUUGCCCCAGGCCCUUGUGUUCUGGCCACUGUCUCCUUCUCUGUUACUAUUUCCACUUACUUCCCACUCACAUAUGUUCUUGAUUGUGUGUCAUGCAUCAAUAAAUCCAGACUUUAUCACAUUUCCAUGUGUUUUCUCUUCUUCCCAUACCAUACUCUGAACCAUAUUUUUCCUUUUGAUUCAGACCCACAGAUAUUAUCCCCCAGGAACUUCCUAUCCUGUUCGAUUUAGGUGUCCCCUGUCCCCUCCCCUAAUACUCCACAUUUAACUCUUUCAAGGCACUUACUACAGAGUGGUGCUAGCAUUUAUUUACGCAUCUGCCUCUUAACAGAUUUUAAGUUCUCAUAGGGCUCUCUUUUCUCAGAAAUCACAGAGCACCUCAUAUGUAGGUAAUAUAUAAAUUGUGAAAUGAGCAAAUUGUUUAUAUAAAGUGGCAUUGGAUUAUGUUUCUGCACAGAUGGUUCUGUUUUCAUUGCAGAUUUAUAAUUUGUCCAGUUAAAGAAAAUUUUCAGAUAUAUUGUUAACAAUAAUUUUCAGGACUCAACCAAUGUAGAAUCCAUAUGGUUCACAAACUAGGAUGUAAAAAAUUAUACUGAUGUCAUCCUCUCAUUUUUGUCUCUUAUUUGCCCAAUUCCCAUCUCCUUCCCUUUUACAUAACUUAUGUUUAGUGUUUUAGGUAAUCAUUCAAUUUUUCUUAAUUUACACCCAGGCAGACAUGGUUAUUGAUUCUGAUCCUCCCCUUAGCAUAAAAAGUAACAUAAAUACACUCUUCUUAUUUGUACUUCAUAAUACAUCCUAUACAUAUUUCCUUAUUAGUACAUAGAAAUUUUCAUUUCUUUAAUGACACAGCUUCACAACAUUACAUUGUAUAGAUAUUCCAUAAUUCAUUAACUAGUUCCCUAUUGAUGUAAAUUUGGGCUGCUUCCAAUAUUUUACCACUACAAACAACAUUGCAAAGAAUAACCUUGAAUGCAUGCACCAUUUCAUCAGUGUGCAAGCAUGUGUAAAGAUUGCCUUCCUAGAAAUAUAAUUGCUGAGUCAAAUGACUUUUGCAAUAGUAGUCUUAAUAGAUAUUUUGAUGUAUUGAUAAAUAUUGUUGCAUAUUAAUUUUAUGUCCAGAUAGCAUACUGAAUUCUCCCAUAGUCCUUAGGCAUUUCUUUGUUGAUUUUCUUGUAUUUUAUUUUUAAAUAAAAUAAUAUGCAAAUUAUGAUAAUUUUUGCAUUCUGAUGAUAAUUUGCAUAUGAUAAUUCUGCCUUUCCUUUUUCUUCUUCUUUUUAUUUGUUCUUUUUAGCUAUACAUGACAGUAGAGUGUAUUUUGACAUAUUACAUAUUCAUAGAGUAUAACUUAUUCUAAUUAGGAUCCCAUUCUUGUGAUUAUAUAUGAGGUGGAAUUUCACUGGUCAUGUAUUCAUAUAUAAACAUAGGAAAGUUAUGUUCAAUUCAUCCUACUGUCUUUUCUAUUCCCAACAUGCCUCCCUUCCCUUCAUUCCCCUUUGUCUAAUCCAAUGACCUUCUAUUCUUCCCUUCCCCACUUAUUGUGUGUUAGCAUCCACAUAUCAAAGAGAACAUUCAGCCUUUGUUUUUUGGGGACUGGCUUAUUUCACUUAGCAUGAUAGUUACUAUUUAUUUCAUGACAGCAUGUUAGCUAUUAUCUAUUUCACUUAGCAUGAUAGUUAUUAUCUCUUUAUUUUGGGGGUUUGUCUGAAACUUCCAGUACAAUUUUAAAGACUAAUGAAGAUAGAUAUAUGUAUUACUUCUGACUUAUGAAGAAUGUUUUCUUAUUAACUGUUGUUACUUACUUUUAGGAGAAGAUAAUACACACAUAUGUACAAUUAUAUAUAUUAAAUACCGUAUAUAGUUAUAGAACUAUAUCCAUUGAUUAUUAUUAUAUUACUAGUUAUUUUGUAACAGCUUGGUCAUGUUGUAAAAAUGAUUAAUUCUUUAAUGUGAUACUGGCUUAUGUUUACUAACUUUUCAUUUUUUUUUAAUUUAUUUUUUUUAUUGGUUGUUCAAAACAUUAUAAAGCUAUUGACAUAUCAUAUUUCAUACAAUAGAUUCAAGUUGGUUAUGAACUCCCAAUUUUACCCCAAAUACAGAUUGCAGAAUCACAUCGGUUACACAUCCACAUUUUUACAUAAUGCCCUAUUAGUAACUGUUGUAUUCUGCUACCUUUACUAUCCUCUACUAUCCCCCCUCCCUCCCCUCCCAUCUUCUCUCACUACCCCAUCCACUGUAAUUCAUUUCUCUCCUUGUUUAUUUUCUUACUUUUCAUUUUAAGUAUUUAUCAACAUUCGUAAGAAUAGUCUCAUUCAUAUUAUCUUUACCAAGUUUGGACAUCAAUAUUAUACUCAGUUCAUAAAAAAAAAAAUGUUAAGUUUCUAUGUUUUGAAAAAAAGUUCAAUAUCCUUGCAAUUGAAAUUGUUUAGUUUGCUGUGAGAAACUGCUCCCUUAGUUGCUCCCUCCCUCCCUGAAUGUUAUAUUUGUUCAAGUUGAUAUCAAUGCUUUGUGUAUUGCCAGUAUUUUGCAACCACAUAAAUUCAAAAAGAAAAAACCUCAUUUCAUUUUGAGGAAGUUAUUUGCCUUGAACUUAGUGUGUUAUUAUUGUUAACAAUAAUUGUUAUAAUUAUGUGUGCUCAAUAAAUGAUGUGGAUAUAUAGAUGAAAGGAAUUAAUUCCUAGUCACCUAGGAUGAAGAUAUAGCAAUUGUCUUACACAAGGUUGACAAAUAAUCUAAUGAACUCAUUACAUCAUCAUGCAAAACUUAUUAUAAAAAUUCAAAUAAUAUAUUUGUUAGUGAAUUUGUAGUUUAAUACACAAUUGAAUUACUGUACCUAUAAUGUCAAUAAAUAAAUUUAAAUAUGGCAAACGUUCUUCAUU